AAUGAUUAUUAUCCAAACUUUAAAUAGAAUGAUUCAGUUGAAGUCAAUUAGAAAUAUGAAGAAAGUUUAGUUAGUGGAAAUAAAAUGCAACUAUGAGAUGGCAAUAAUGUUGUGAAAAUAGUUAAAUUAUAUUUAGUAACUAAAAGUGAAAGAAGAAUUAAGAAAUACAUUAAUUAAGUGAUGAAGAUUGAAUGAUGACAUCUAUAGACAAAAAGUUGCUGAUUUAUAAAUAAUUGAAAAUACUUAGUGAAAUAUGAUUUUUCAUACAAAUGACAAAAGAGUAUUCCGAAGAGAACGAACAGUUGCAAAUAAGAAGUCAAUAACAGUUUGGAGACAACUUCAUCACAUACUUUAACUGUUCUGUGCAAAGUAGGACCUUUCCAAUUAUCAUGAAGGAUUAUAUAAGAUCUAUGAGGGAUGAGCGAGAUGAAUGAGAUUUGAGGAUUACAAAAAUUUGACUAAUAAAUGCAUAGAUACAAGAAUUAUAAAAUGCAUGAAUGAAUGGAAACUAGGAUUUAGAUGAAAGGAUUACAAGUUUGGAAACACACGCUCAGGUCAUGUAUACUUACACAAACUUUAUAUGAUCGGUAAGUUAUCAUUUCAUUUCACUGUUUAAUCAAUGUUUCUUUAUUUUAAGUGUAGUUAGUACAUAUGUAAAUUAUUGUUAAGUGUGUAACUUAAUACUGGUUGUGUGUGAUUAUGUAACCUUGUUUCUUUUAGUUCAUUAAUUUUGUAUCACUUAAUUUAAUAUAGGCUAUUCAUUUUGUUGUUGCAUAUUCUGUAUAUUCAAGGUUAGGAUUAGCUUUUCCGAUUUAAAGAAAUUCUCCUUGUAAUUUUUUUUUUCGAAGUGAUUCAGAAGUUUAUGAAACGAGCAUAGUAAUUUGUGUGCAAAGUUUAUGCUUAUCGGGUCGUGUUUCAUAGACAGUUCCAGAAAAUUUGCAAAGAGAUACUUGACUUUUUUUUACGAGUUUUCAGUUCCGAUCGUUUCACAUAUAAUUUUGAUAAUUUGAAGCCUUUUGUAAAUUAAUACUCCUCAAAAGACGCGACAAUCAUGUUUCUUCUGGUUUCCCAUUGAAAUUUAUUAUGAAAAAUAUUUUC